AUUGAACGCUGGCGGCAUGCCUUACACAUGCAAGUCGAACGGCAGCACGGGUGCUUGCACCUGGUGGCGAGUGGCGAACGGGUGAGUAAUACAUCGGAACAUGUCCUGUAGUGGGGGAUAGCCCGGCGAAAGCCGGAUUAAUACCGCAUACGAUCUACGGAUGAAAGCGGGGGACCUUCGGGCCUCGCGCUAUAGGGUUGGCCGAUGGCUGAUUAGCUAGUUGGCGGGGUAAAGGCCUACCAAGGCGACGAUCAGUAGCUGGUCUGAGAGGACGACCAGCCACACUGGGACUGAGACACGGCCCAGACUCCUACGGGAGGCAGCAGUGGGGAAUUUUGGACAAUGGGCGAAAGCCUGAUCCAGCAAUGCCGCGUGUGUGAAGAAGGCCUUCGGGUUGUAAAGCACUUUUGUCCGGAAAGAAAUCCUUGGCCCUAAUACGGUCGGGGGAUGACGGUACCGGAAGAAUAAGCACCGGCUAACUACGUG
rnacentral:rRNA from 1 species